GGGCUCGUCGUCCAACGGCAGGACACCGGACUUUUAAUCCGAGAGGUGGAGGUUCGAGUCCUCCCGAGCCCA
rnacentral:tRNA from 1 species